AUUGAACGCUGGCGGCAGGCUUAACACAUGCAAGUCGAGCGGGGGAAGGUAGCUUGCUACCGGACCUAGCGGCGGACGGGUGAGUAAUGCUUAGGAAUCUGCCUAUUAGUGGGGGACAACAUCUCGAAAGGGAUGCUAAUACCGCAUACGUCCUACGGGAGAAAGCAGGGGAUCUUCGGACCUUGCGCUAAUAGAUGAGCCAAAGUCGGAUUAGCUAGUUGGUGGGGUAAAGGCCUACCAAGGCGACGAUCUGUAGCGGGUCUGAGAGGAUGAUCCGCCACACUGGGACUGAGACACGGCCCAGACUCCUACGGGAGGCAGCAGUGGGGAAUAUUGGACAAUGGGGGGAACCCUGAUCCAGCCAUGCCGCGUGUGUGAAGAAGGCCUUAUGGUUGUAAAGCACUUUAAGCGAGGAGGAGGCUACUUUAGUUAAUACCUAGAGAUAGUGGACGUUACUCGCAGAAUAAGCACCGGCUAACUCUGUGCCAGCAGCCGCGGUAAUACAGAGGGUGCGAGCGUUAAUCGGAUUUACUGGGCGUAAAGCGUGCGUAGGCGGCUUAUUAAGUCGGAUGUGAAAUCCCCGAGCUUAACUUGGGAAUUGCAUUCGAUACUGGUGAGCUAGAGUAUGGGAGAGGAUGGUAGAAUUCCAGGUGUAGCGGUGAAAUGCGUAGAGAUCUGGAGGAAUACCGAUGGCGAAAGCAGCCAUCUGGCCUAAUACUGACGCUGAGGUACGAAAGC
rnacentral:rRNA from 1 species